rnacentral:ribozyme from 1 species
GUUUUUUUUUUCUUGUUCCCUUUGCUGGUCGAUGGGUUGGUUAGCUUCUGUGACCCAUCCGAACUCUAACGAGAUCAUUGACGAUAGUUGGGGUGACAUUAGUUCCUUUCUCGUUCUCUCUGAAGU